CUUUUGACCUCGGAUCAGGUAGGGAUACCCGCUGAACUUAAGCAUAUCAAUAAGCGGAGGAAAAGAAACCAACAGGGAUUGCCCUAGUAACGGCGAGUGAAGCGGCAACAGCUCAAAUUUGAAAUCUGGCUCUUUUAGAGUCCGAGUUGUAAUUUGCAGAGGGCGCUUUGCCUUUGGCAGCGGUCCCAAGUUCCUUGGAACAGGACGUCACAGAGGGUGAGAAUCCCGUACGUGGUCGCUGGCUAUUGCCGUGUAAAGCCCCUUCGACGAGUCGAGUUGUUUGGGAAUGCAGCUCUAAAUGGGAGGUACAUUUCUUCUAAAGCUAAAUAUUGGCCAGAGACCGAUAGCGCACAAGUAGAGUGAUCGAAAGAUGAAAAGCACUUUGGAAAGAGAGUCAAACAGCACGUGAAAUUGUUGAAAGGGAAGCGCUUGCAGCCAGACUUGCUUACAGUUGCUCAUCCGGGUUUCUACCCGGUGCACUCUUCUGUAGGCAGGCCAGCAUCAGUUUGGGCGGUAGGAUAAAGGUCUCUGUCACGUACCUCCUUUCGGGGAGGCCUUAUAGGGGAGACGACAUACUACCAGCCUGGACUGAGG
rnacentral:rRNA from 1 species